rnacentral:rRNA from 1 species
AGGCCAUAGACCAGAGAGGGUGCGAGUCCCGUCCUGGAUUGCGAUGCUGUUGGUUCGAUUGCUCCUUGGAGUCGGGUUGCUUGAAAGUGCAGCCUAAAGUGGGUGAUAAACUUCAUCUAAGGCUAAAUAUUGACUCGAUUGCGAUAGCGAACAAGUACCGUGAGGGAAAGUUGCAAAGGACUUUGAAGAGAGAGUUCAAGAGAACGUGAAAUCGCUGGAGUGGAACCGGAGACAGUUGAUGUUGCUUGGAGACAAGUUUGGUGGCUGGUCGCUUAGUUGUGAUCGUCGCCGGAUGUCGUUUCCUAUGCUACGCCGACGGCGUUGGUCGCUCGUUCUGGCCCGACAGUGUUGCCCAGCUCGCAAGAGUCGGUGUCUUGUUGUCGGUCGUUGGUUCGUGGUGGCUAGCGUUUAGUUACGCUAGUGUGUGUGACGUCGGUGUGAAAGUCGACGACGUUUCCGACCCGUCUUGAAACACGGAUUGCGGAGUGCUUGUCUACUGCGAGUCAAAGGGUGUUAAAACCUUGCGGCGAAAUGAAAGUGAAGGUCAGUCUUGAAUUGGCCGACGUGGGAUCGGUGCUCCUCGGAGUGCUGCGCACCACGGCCCUGUGCGUGUCACUUGUGACUGUGCAGAGGUUGAGCAGUUGGCAAACGACCCGAAAGAUGGUGAACUAUGCCUGAGCAGGAUGAAGCCAGAGGAAACUCUGGUGGAAGUCCGUAUCGGUUCUGACGUGCAAAUCGAUCGAUAGACUUGGGUAUAGGGGCGAAAGACUAAUCGAACCAUCUAGUAGCUGGUUCCUUCCGAAGUUUCCCUCAGGAUAGCUGGAUCUCCGGCAGUUAUAUUCGGUAAAGCUAAUGAUUAGAGGCCUUGGGGACGUAAUGUCCUCAACCUAUUCUCAAACUUUCAAUGGAUAUGAAGUUGCAGUUUCUUUAGUGAACUGUCAACGUGAAUGCGAGGUCCAAGUGGGCCAUUUUUGGUAAGCAGAACUGGCGCUGUGGGAUGAACCAAACGUGGAGUUAAGGUGCCUAACUUCUCGCUCAUGAGACCCCAUAAAAGGUGUUGGUUGAUAUUGACAGCAGGACGGUGGCCAUGGAAGUCGGUAUCCGCUAAGGAGUGUGUAACAACUCACCUGCCGAAUCAACUAGCCCUGAAAAUGGAUGGCGCUUAAGCGAGAGACCUAUACUCCGCCGUUGCGGCAUGUGCGUUGUCUAGCGCCAGGCCGUAACGAGUAGGAAGGUCGUGGCGGUUGCUUUGAAGGCUAUGAGCGUGGGCUCGGCUGGAGCUUCCGUCAGUGCAGAUCGUAAUGGUAGUAGCAAAUAUUCAAGUUCGAUCCUUGAAGACUGAAGUGGAGAAGGGUUCCACGUGAACAGUAGUUGGAUGUGGGUCAGUCGAUCCUAAGGUACUGGCGAACGCCUUGUAUCAUCGGUGGCGAAAAGCUUGCUUUUGGUCCCCGUUUGUCGAAAGGGAAUAGGGUUAAUAUUCCCUAACUGAGAUGCAAAGAUUGUGUUCUUCGGAGCACAAGCGCGGUAACGCAUUCGAACUUGGUUAGUCGCUCAAAGACCGAGCUAGAGUUUUCUUCUCUAGUUAAGGAACGGACUCCCUGGAAUUGGUUCAGCCAGAGAUGGGGACGUUGUUUCCGAAAAGCACCGCGGUUUCUGUGGUGUCUCGUGCUCUUUGAACGGCCCUUAAAACACCAAGGGAGGCUAUUAAUUUGCACUCAAUCGUACCGAUAUCCGCAUUAGGUCUCCAAGGUGAACAGCCUCUAGUCGAUAGAAUAAUGUAGGUAAGGGAAGUCGGCAAACUAGAUCCGUAACUUCGGGAAAAGGAUUGGCUCCAGUGGUUGGAACGAUUGGCCAGUUGGUUGAUGCUUGUCCGGCGCUAUUCUGUCUGCUUGAUGCUUUCGGGCUGAUGGCGGACUAGUGAUAGUGCUUGCUUGUGGACGCUUUCUGGUGUGUGCUAGGACCUCGGUUCUAGUAUCCUGAUCGCUCAUCUAAACAACCGUACUGGAACCGGUACGGACUCAGGGAAUCCGACUGUCUAAUUAAAACAGAGGUGACAGAUGGUCCUUGCGGACGCUGACUGUCACUGAUUUCUGCCCAGUGCUCUGAAUGUUAAAUCGUAGUAAUUCGAGUAAGCGCGGGUAAACGGCGGGAGGAACUAUGACUCUCUUAAGGUAGCCAAAUGCCUCGUCAUUUAAUUGUUGACGCGCAUGAAUGGAU